CUGCAGCGGACUGGUAGGUGGAGGCGUUGUCAGAUAUUAAGACUUUUGGCAGUGACUUGCGGCUUGCAAAUCGACGGAAAGCUUCAAUAAAGGUCGGAACUGUUAGGUCGGUCACGACUUCAAGGUGAACGGCACGAGUACUUGCACAAGUGAACAGGCAGAUAUACACCUUCGAUCGACCGUUGGUUGAUUUCACGUAGAUUUCGCCUGUAAAAUCGACCCCAGUAAUGGUGAAUGGGGGUGAAUCAUUCGUUCGAGUUGUUGGAAGUGGUGGUGGGUCUGGUAUCGUGUAUGGUUUGCCUGUAGUUUUGAGGCACGUUACACAACGACGGAUGAUCUUCUUAAUGUAUUGUCUGGCAGCAGGUAUCCAAUAUCUUUGACGGAGGUGGGUAAGGGUAGAGUUUUGUCCGGAGUGAAGGGUUGCUCUGUGUGCAUCCUCCACAAUCAACUGUGUAAGAUGAUGGUUUCGUGGGAGGAGAAUGGGGAACUUAGCGGAUUCUUGAAGAGGAGCAUUAUGUAUUCUUCCACCACAGCGGAUGAUGCCUUCGGCGAGAAAUAGACGAAGUUGUCUGACCAAUGAUGAUCGGUUAGAUGUCUUCGACUGUAGGUUGACAAGUUCGUUUGAA